rnacentral:lncRNA from 1 species
CCGCGACAGUCCAGAAAACUGCGCGUGCCGCGUCUUUGCGCCAUUUCUGUCCCGUCAGCUGCGCGCUGUUUGCCGGGGACGAGACGUCAGCGGGGACGCGGCAGGGACCCGAACAAGGAGCAGACGUAAGGCAGACAGACCUAAAAUGAAAAGACGGCCACACGUCUUCAAGCAGAAAACUCGAAAGGUAAGUGUAUGACGGUUAAACUAUCAUGAAAUGUAAUGUUAAUAUUAGCAUAUUAUAAUAGCAUGUAUUCAUCCAGAAUCUUUUGCUUAGAAAUUAAAUAGCUUGGUAAGCCAUAGCUCAUCUGUGUGUGUGUGUGUGUGUGUGUGUGUUUUUUUUUAUGUACUGCCAGUAGCAUUUUUUGAAAAAAGAAGCAUAAUGUUUUGUUCUGUCAGUGGCACCAAUGGCGUUGCUUUGCAGUUUACACUUUUACUGUGU